rnacentral:rRNA from 1 species
UUGAACGCUGGCGGCAGGCCUAACACAUGCAAGUCGAGCGGAUGAAGGGAGCUUGCUCCUGGAUUCAGCGGCGGACGGGUGAGUAAUGCCUAGGAAUCUGCCUGGUAGUGGGGGAUAACGUCCGGAAACGGGCGCUAAUACCGCAUACGUCCUGAGGGAGAAAGUGGGGGAUCUUCGGACCUCACGCUAUCAGAUGAGCCUAGGUCGGAUUAGCUAGUUGGUGGGGUAAAGGCCUACCAAGGCGACGAUCCGUAACUGGUCUGAGAGGAUGAUCAGUCACACUGGAACUGAGACACGGUCCAGACUCCUACGGGAGGCAGCAGUGGGGAAUAUUGGACAAUGGGCGAAAGCCUGAUCCAGCCAUGCCGCGUGUGUGAAGAAGGUCUUCGGAUUGUAAAGCACUUUAAGUUGGGAGGAAGGGCAGUAAGUUAAUACCUUGCUGUUUUGACGUUACCAGCAGAAUAAGCACCGGCUAACUUCGUG